AAAGAAGGAGAAGAAGCCAUAGAUAGAUUAAGAGCUUAUGAGUGGAGGACUAGAGAUUUCAUCAAAGAUUAAGAGGGAUAGUAACAUAGUUAUUGGAGAUGAUUCAUGAGAAGAGAGAAAAUCAUUUUUCUCUAGCCCAAACUCUCUUAUCUCAAUUGGGGGUUUGUAUGUGGGAUUUGGGAAUGUGUUUAUUAAAAACUUUUAUGUGUUGAUUCAUGAUUCUAUUGGUUCUAUCAUGAUUAUUGGGUG
rnacentral:lncRNA from 1 species